CGGUCCCAUUCCGAACCCGGAAGUUAAGCUCUCAAGCGCCGAUGGUACUGCCUCCGUGCUGGGGUGGGAGAGUAGGACGCCGCCGUAC
rnacentral:rRNA from 1 species